GCGUCGGUGGCGGAGUGGUCAAUCGCACCGCGCUGUAAACGCGGCGACCUUUGGUCUACGCAGGUUCGAAUCCUGCCCGGCGCA
rnacentral:tRNA from 1 species